GGCUAUUACAGCUCUUUUAGAAUUUGUUUAGCAGGCUUUCUAGUCUUUAUUGGAAAGCACCU
ensembl:snRNA U7 U7 small nuclear RNA